UAAUGUCACUACAUAGCACACUGCGAAAUGAAUGGAAUGAUAUUGGUUCUCUCCUGCUUCCAAACUAUGUCACCAGAUCACAAAUAAACAGCACCAAUCAGCGCUCAUUGUGAAUAGCUGCUGUACAACGAGGGACUAUAAACCAAAACGCAUCACAACUUUUAGAGAAAAUCCUGUUUUCACAGAAAGAAGAUUGGUCUUGUUUCUGCAAAAAUGAAUACAAAUAUGUCACGUCGUGAGGUGCUGGUUCAUGAUAAAGAUUUAAUAAAAAACUUCUGGGAACAAAAAAUUGACAGUCAGGACCAAGUGACUGAGAGUGAGGAUGUACGAAUGAAGAAGAGUGCCUUAAAAAAACUACGGAACGAGUGGGUGGAACAACUGGAAAGCAGAACAAAGCAUCUUAAGAAAUUUAAUGAGGAUCGUCACAAACAGAUGCAAGCAUCCCGGCUGACAACUGAGCCAACGCUCUGUAAAGCAGAAUCAGUUGCUUAAAUUAAUUGGUAGUUAGAUGUUUGGAAUUCCAAUCUGAACUACUAACCUAUUCCAUGAUGCUCUGUGUUACCCCUUCUCUGUGCACAUCAUUUUAUAAAGACAUCAUUAUUUCCUUAGAGGAUAGAUUAUCAAUGUGUACAUUUAGAAGUUUUGUCUAGUUCAGAAGAGCCCAUGUUACCGUCAACUAACUUGUAACAUAGAUGCAAACUGAAAAGAAUGUAUUGAAUUACCUUUUGAAAUUAUUUAUUUAUUUAGCGUCUGCUAAAUAAAUAAAUAAUUUUUAAAUUGCAAAAGCGAUGCCAGCAAAGUGCUGGCCAGGGAGCUCUUGUGCUGAGUGUGUCUGUAAUGUAUUCAUGCAAUCUGAUUACCCCUCAUGAUUCCAUUACAGGCACUGCUGGCAGUACAAAUGAUGCAGCCCAUGUGGCUUAUAUUGCUGUAUAUUGUAAUGUAUCUAAAACAGAAACAUAUUAUUUAUAAUCAUUGAUAAAGAUCAUUACUAAUAUGCUGAAUGUUUGAACUACUUCAUCGUGCUAUCAAAAAUGAUGCUAUAAUCACACUUUCAGUAAAUACACCUGAUUAAAAUUGUCACUUUACUGUUAAACUAGUUGUUAUAAUAUAUGCCCCUCACUGGUAUAUAUAACGUAAAUGAAAGAAUAUUUAUCAACACAGCUUAAUACAGGAAAGUGGAAAUUAAGGCUGUUAAGAGGAUGAGUUAAGAGUUGUUAGAAGCUAUAGUAGGUUUAUGAACUGAAAUUCUGUCAAAAGUUAAUUUUCAGAUUGUCAAGGGCUGGUUCGGUAAGGUUUUGAGACUUUGGUCUGUAAAAGUAUGAAGCUGAACUCAGCUGGCUUGAGGUGUAGUGGGACGAUUGGGUUCGCUUGUGAAUAUGUUAAGAAUGAAACUGGGAAUGGACCAUAUUGUGUUUCCAGCAGUACAUUCAUCUCACCAGACUAACUGUUUUUUUGACUGUUGUUACUUUGGUUCAUUUAAUGGACUGUGUCAUGUAUUUAUUUUAUUGACUUGAUUGACAAACAUUAAUAGAUUUAGAGUGACAGUAACAGUGAGGUUGUCACAAAGAUUCAAAGUACUGUAUUUGAUAGACAUGAGCAUCCAAGUACCUUGUGUGAGGAUGUGCAUUUCAUCUUUGACAGUGAGCUGGUUGGGUCUCCUCUAUAAUUACACAUAUAAAUAAUAUAUUCUUUAUUGCAAUACAGUUUUUCUUCUGUAAGGUGUAAGCAUGGUUAGCUAUCUGUUGUAUUAAGAGAGCUGUUAAUGUGGGAUUAACUAUUUUAAGACGCGCAGUGACAUGUAAUUACUCGGAAACAGAAGAUACAAAUGUUUGCUCUUUUAAUCGACUACAAAUGGUAAUAUCAGUACCCACAAGAAAAAUGACUGCAAUCUGUCUGUCUGUGCUACUGCUGCAGUUAAGUAGUACACACCUGUAUUUUUUUUUUAAAUUAUUUUUUAUUGUUAAGGAAUUUUCAUAAAAUAAAUACUGUUCUGGGAUGAGUUUAAAUAUAUUAAAUAAUAAUUACUAUUUGGUAUACAGUAAAUACCAAAUAAAGGUUCUCCGAAGUAUUUUAUUAAAAUGUCUUAUUAGAAAUAUAAAAACACGGGGGUGGAACAGCUAGUUCUGUUUUCAUGAGACAAGAUUCAGAAACUGAUGUCUAGCUAAAGUGUACUUUUGAAUGACCUUUAGUACAUUUUAGCAUUUUUCUUUAAAAUGAAUAUAGGUGUAAUUUACUUGGAAUAUUUGAUGUAUUUAGAAGGUUUGUAUUUGUUUCAUUUGUAUUCAGUAACUUUAUUGACUGAAGCAUUUGAAACUGUUACUUAGUUUCAUUGACAUGUUUGUGACAGUGUUUUGUUUAUCAGGAUUUAUGACUCUCAAUAAUCUCCUGCAGCAUCCUGCAAAUUAAGUUAUCUAGCAUGCAAUAAACAGCACAGAUCGCAGUGGGGACAGGCAUGAAGAAUGCACCAGCAGGCCAGCUUUAAAGCUGUCCUUGUCUCAAUUUCUUUGUUGUCUGACCAACUCCAUCCACUGAAAAACUCAGUAACACUUUACAUUUAUAUAGUAGUUAAAUAGUAAAUACAUGUGUAAUUACACAUAAUUACAAUUGUAUUAUGCAUAGCUUCAAUGUACUUUACAUGUAAAUCUUGUUGCACGGUAUAUGUAAGUACACAAUUGCAUCAGAAAGGGUUAGGGUUAGAGUAAGGUUUAGUGGGGUUAAGGUUAGGUUUAGAGUUAAGUUUAAAGUUAGGGUUAGCGAUGGGGUCAAGGUUAGGAUUAUGUAAAAAUGUACACAAUAAGUACAUUGUAACUAUGCAUAAUAACAUUGUAAUUAUGUGUAAGUACACAUGUCUUUACUAAGUAACUACUAUGUAAAUACACAGUAAUUAGAGACACUUAAUGUAAAGUGUUACCAAAAACUCAAGCAUAGAGUAAGUAAUACCCACCCUCCAAUAUCAUGAUAUGACAAUACCACAACAUGUUGAAUUGGCAUCUAAAGCCGUAGAACUUUAGUGAAAAAUAUUACUGGUGUCAGGUGCCUUCAUUAGUCCCAGUAAAGAGAGGUUUGUGUAAAGCUGCUUGAUCAUAGGAGCAAAGCUCAUGAAUGGAUUUUCUUACUAUAUUGACGCAUUAAUAAUAACAAUAUCUUUAUAUAGCGCCUUUCAUAGUGGACCACCAUCACAAAGCACUUUACAGAGGUAGGCUGUGAACUGUGCGUUAUAUGCAGAGGCUCUUACAAUAAGAUAUUGUUUUAACAUCUCAUCCACAGGAUGGAGGACAAGGAGGUUAAGUGACUUGAUCAGGAUCACACAGUGAGUCAGUCAGUGGCAGAGGUGUGAUUUGAACUGGUGACCUUCUGGUUACAAGCCCUGGACUUUAACCACUGGACUACACUGCCUCAUGUAAAAUUUAAGAAGAAUUUUAGACAAAUGUUUAUUA